GGUCAGCAAGAUUCGUACUUUCUCGAUCAUUCACGCAGCGUCGCGGAUUGAUCGAGUCAAGCGGAGCGUCGUAACGUGUUUAAUUGUUAACUGUGUUUUCGCGAGUGUACCCAAUGCGACGAGGAAAUCUGAGAGGAGGAGGAGGCCUGGGGGGGGGGCAUCUGGCGACAGCGGAGCAACUCUGCAGUCAACGUUUCAACAACUCCGCUGUUGCGCAUCAGAUCUG